UAGGGUGAUUCCAAAAUCUGUGAUGAACAGGUCGGUCAUGAAAAGACCCUUACCGGAUUAUUACCAGCGUUGGCAGGCGCCAACCUGAUAUACGGUCUGG
rfam:Desulfobacteraceae bacterium 4572_123 ex4572_123_scaffold_5453, whole genome shotgun sequence.